rnacentral:ncRNA from 1 species
UUGGUCGAAGGGCAAACCCGUCGAAAGACGGGGACGCAAAGCCUCCGGUCUAAGGGCGUCAAGCCUACGAUAGCGGGGUUACCGGU